AGCGAACGCUGGCGGCAGGCUUAACACAUGCAAGUCGAGCGCCCCGCAAGGGGAGCGGCAGACGGGAGAGUAACACGUGGGAACGUACCCUUUAGUUCGGAACAACCCAGGGAAACUUGGGCUAAUACCGGAUACGUCCGUAAGGAGAAAGAUUUAUCGCUAAAGGAUCGGCCCGCGUCUGAUUAGCUAGUUGGUGAGGUAACGGCUCACCAAGGCGACGAUCAGUAGCUGGUCUGAGAGGAUGAUCAGCCGCACUGGGACUGAGACACGGCCCAGACUCCUCCGGGAGGCAGCAGUGGGGAAUAUUGGGCAAUGGGCGCAAGCCUGAUCCAGCCAUGCGGCGUGGGUGAUGAAGGCCCUAGGGUUGUAAAGCCCUUUCGGCGGGGAAGAUAAUGACGGUACCCGCAGAAGAAGCCCCGGCUAACUUCGUGCCAGCCGCCGCCGUAA
rnacentral:rRNA from 1 species